GGACCCGCACAAGCGGUGGAGUAUGUGGUUUAAUUCGAUGCAACACGAAGAACCUUACCAGGGGUUUUGAAAUCAUUUCAAAAACUCCUUGAAAGAGGAGCCUCCUUCGGGAUGAAAUGACAGGUGGUGCAUGGCUGUCGUCAGCUCGUGUUGUGAAAUGUCGAGUUAAGUCUCGUAACGAGCGCAACCCAUGUCUCUUGUUGCUCACUGAGUGCUUAAGAGAGACUGCCGACCAACAUCGGAGGAAGGUGUGGAUGAUGUCAAAGUCAGCAUGCCCCUUACAUCCUGGGGCUACACACGUACUACAAUGGUAGUGACAAUGGGU
rnacentral:rRNA from 1 species